rnacentral:rRNA from 1 species
UGGGGAAUUUUGGACAAUGGGCGCAAGCCUGAUCCAGCCAUGCCGCGUGCGGGAAGAAGGCCUUCGGGUUGUAAACCGCUUUUGUCAGGGAAGAAAUCUUCUGAGUUAAUACCUCGGGAGGAUGACGGUACCUGAAGAAUAAGCACCGGCUAACUACGUGCCAGCAGCCGCGGUAAUACGUAGGGUGCAAGCGUUAAUCGGAAUUACUGGGCGUAAAGCGUGCGCAGGCGGUUUUGUAAGACAGAGGUGAAAUCCCCGGGCUCAACCUGGGAACUGCCUUUGUGACUGCAAAGGCUUGAGUGCGGCAGAGGGGGAUGGAAUUCCGCGUGUAGCAGCGAAAUGCGUAGAUAUGCGGAGGAACACCGAUGGCGAAGGGCAAUCCCCCUGGGCCUGCACUGACGCUCAUGCACGAAAGCGUGGGGAGCAAACAGGAUUAGAUA